CAAGGCCAUUGGUGGCUGCACGGGGUGGCACGGGCACUGCAAUACCUCGUGAUCAACAGCAGAGAGAGCUCACAGGAGGAGAAAGUGAAUCCCAGGGUGAGGGACCAUCACCACCGCAGGGGAUGAAGGCAGGACACGCUCCACUAAAAUGUCUCCUGUUGGUCUCUGGUAGAGGCACGGUAUGAGAUACAGCAGUAACAGAAUAAAAAUGGCAGGGCCAGCUCUCUAACAGGCUUUAGGCACUUAGUUGCUCUUGGGGAUUAAUUCACAGUAGCUAACUUGAGGGAGUAUCAUGAAUGGAGAUAAUGGAGGUGCCUCUAAAAGGGAUUCACAGCAGCCUUAACCUCCCUCACACCAAGCCCCAAACAGGAACCAUCCUGCAUAAACCCCUCUCUUGAGGGAGGAAAAAAAAAAAAAAAAAAUGGAUGCAACUGCUUUUCUUCAAAGAGUUGGUUGAUGUCCUGCUGUCACUACAACAGCUACCAGACAACCCAUGGAUUACACAUCUGAAAAUACACUGUGUUCAGUUUUUGCUUUGGGAUUACAGUAAUGAUCCUCUCCAAGCUUCUUACAGCCAAAGACAAGCGACCAAUGCACAAAACACCUUCCAGGAGGAGCCUCGAGGACAAAUCCAUUGUGGAUGCCACCUCAUUUAAAAGUCACUAAAAAUCAAACCUUUCAAACAAGUGUUUUUCCAAAUGCUGAUGGAAAUGGGAAAAUCAAAGUCUGCCUGUACACACAGAUAUGUGUUUGUAAAUAUUUACACAUGCUCAAAUGCACGCCCUGUCUUGCAUCUGAACACCAAAACCACAGCAAAGCAGAUCCUUAUUUUUUGGCCAAUCCAUAUAAACUUUUAUUAAAGAUUCAACAUACUGAAUUGUUGACUAGAAUGGUAACUGAAUGUGUUUUUUCCUAGCUUCUUUUCCUGUUAGAAAACUAAAAGCAAAGUACACAUUCAGAGUGCCUUUGACCUUGAUGGGAAUGCUGCUUGAAGAAUGACUGUAUGGCUGUACCACUGAUUUUAUGGACUAUUUUUGCAGUAUGAUGUGUAUCAUCAUUACUUCUGCUUUCAAGGACCCUUUUCUACUAAGUUUAGCCUGUGCAGACUGUUUAUCUUGAGCUUCUCAGUGCUCUCUCAUCCUUUUCUGCCUCAAUGACUUUUGAAAGACAUCAGUUUACCACAUUAUAAUUAAUUGUUCUAACCCUGUUUAAGCUCACUGCCUCUUUAGACAUUGCCAUCUCUCUUAUUUUUCUGUCAUUUAUUUUGCAUCUUGCAAAUUGAAGUCAGCAUUCCUUUAAAAGCUGAGCUUUCCUAGAACUGCCAAUCUAUUCGUGCGUUGGCUCUUUUAAAAAAUUCUUAUUAUUUUACAUUCAGAUUCAUGAAUAUUUCAAAAUUAGAUGCCCCAAUUGCUGGAUCAGAGCUGGUCUUCAAAUAAGCACUUCCACUUUCAUUGAGAGCAAUGGAAAAACUGCUAUUGAUUUCAACAGUAGUAGGAUCAGGUCCCAAAUAAAACUGCAUUCAUUAUGUUUGGCUCAUUUCCUAGGAUUACUUGGAACUUUGAAAGCUGUAAUUCUUGAUGUUGACAGCUCUCCCUCCCUCCCAGGGCACUGUGGUUAAGCCAAUCGAUACAUUAUUAAAAUAAACAGCCCCUUGAUCAAACUCAUGGCUUUAGUGCAAGUCUUUCUGCUCUGGGGGAAAAAAAGCCUUUAACAGCCCUCAGGGCCCCACCAGUAUCCAAGGAGCACCUGACUUCACUUAUUGUCCCUAAUUCAUAUCCAAGUUCAUUCUGCUUCAUUGAACAAGAUACCUAGGAUUUCUGCAAAAUAAUACCACUCCCUUUACUGCACACACUGCCUCUCUUCCUCUUAAAAAGUGACUCUAAAAAUUCCCUGACCUGCAGCUCACUGUUCUGUCUUUAAUGGACUCCUCUUUUUCUGUAUAUUUUUCCCUGGGUUUGGGUUGUUAUUUAAACCCUAGAAUCCAUUUGUCCUUUCUUCAUUCUCAGUUUUCACUCCAACUUUCUCCAUCUCCCUUCUCACUUCAUCAUUUCUUUUUCUUUCACUGUGAUGCUUUUUUUAGUCUUCUAAGAUUGACUGAAAAAUCUGCUACUGAAAAUUUUCUAGGAGGAAAAUGAACUUCUUUAUAAAGCUGAAGCCCACUCUGAAAGAAAAGCCCAGGGCUUAAUGCAAUUUCUUUUUCAUCAGUUGUGGCCUGGACAAAAGGUAUCUUUUUUCCCUACAUGUUUUUUUUUUUCUUGCUGCUGUUUCCAUUCAUGCUCUUCAAAUGCUUCGAAUAGGCACCAUGUCACAGCACUGAGCUGUUAUAAAAUCCUGCAUCUUUGCUCAGAUUUCAGCAGCAGAAAAUCUGCAGUCACGUAAUACUCUAGAUGCUCAUUUUGUUCUACUUAUUUAUGUCAAAGAACAAAGCAGUUCCAACUAAACCCAGAACAGGAGGAAAUGAAAAACUCCUUUUCCAUUGUGUGGGGUGGAAAGGAGGAAAAUGAAUACCCACAAAUUCUAAUGGAUUUCAGAGGGAACAUGACCCUGACCCUAAAGAGGGGCUGAGGCAAAGAUGAUGCUCCCCAGCCUCAGGGUGAGCCUGACUCCCCAGGAGACAGCACAGGGCAGCUGUGGCAGUCAGCAGGCAGAGCAGAGGUGUGGCACACUGAGUGACACUGGCUGUGACUCUGUCCUGCUGAAUGCCCUGUGGGCAGUGUCUCCUGCAUCCCAGUGUGCAACCAAGUGUCCUGCCAGAGAGCCAGGGGCUCCUGCUCUGUCCCCUCCUCAGAGAGGCAAGCCCAGGGGUUGCUCUUGCAAACACUACCAAGGGGAAGGAGAGGCAGGUUGGCAGAGGUAGAGAGAGUGAGGGGAAACUGCUCAUCUUUGCACAUUGUCCUGGUAACUCUGUGCAGGAGAACAAGCAGUUAAAACUUGGGUUUGUUCACGUGAAGCCAACUGCUGACCCAAUUUAAUGCCUCUGGGUGUGCCAGCUCACAGCCUCCUGACUGGCAACAGGCUGGAAAGAAGCACCAGCUCCCCACUGCCUCCCUGCCUGCCCCCUCUGCUCUACCAGCUCACCCACUGUGAAGGUGGAAAACCAUCCCUUUACUGGGUGACACACCUCUUGAGGCUUUUGUCCUUAUGAGAGGCUCCUUAACGAAAUGCAUUCUAUCCAUGUGGUGUAGCAAGCUGAUGGCUUUCCAAGCAAGAUGGGCAUUGUUGAAGAAGAUUCAACGAGUCUCAACUCUGCAGCCUCCUUGUACCCUGAAGUUAUACACCUUUUGACAAGGGAACAAACAUUGUUGUAUAUUGCUUUCAAUUCUGAAGCUCUGCUUCUGAAUGGAUUGCAAUUCCCUAUCAAGCUCUAGUGUCAAUUAAGUUCUCUUGCCACAAAUAAACCACAUCAAAAUCAAUUAAGGGAUGCCCUUCACCCUGCUAUAAAAAAAGGCAACCCCCUAAAGCUCACUAGCUUAUGAACUCAAACAGUCAGUGGUAUGCACUGUGCCUAUUGAAUUUUUUGCAUGUGAUUAAUAGUGUAUUGAUCCUCUGUGACACUUCUGCAAGGCACUUGCAACACAUGAUAACAGCAAUUUCCAUGCUAUGAUAAUGGAGCACUGUCCUCGUGCAGGGAAGAGAAACAAUAAAGUAGUCAUUUAGUGAGGCAAAUGUGCAAUAAAACAUAUGAAUUCAUUAUUUCACAGUAAUUCUCUUCUUGGGGAUAAAUCAUCUCACCCUCACCUGUUUUUUCUUUCACACUAAUUCUAAAUUUAGCCUUAAAUUCACUGAGUUUACCAAAGCUAAUGUUCAGAGCUUUCUCACAAUUGAGGAUUACUGUACUUUUUCAUUAUGUUUUCUAACUAAGUAAAAAGAUGGAUGUGUAAGAUUACACAUUUUUGGAAAAACAAGUAGAGUUGUCUAUACCCAGCAAUGGCUUUGAUCAGCUGUUGCCAUACCUGCCUAGGCCACCUCCACACAAAGCCAGAGCUGUGUUUUUACUGCCUCUAUCAUUCAUUUUAAACAAUAACUGAGGACAGAUUUUUAUCCCACCUGUGGCAGCUGUACAAACAUGUCAUACAGUACCUUAUUCCCAGAAAUCUAGAUACCCACACCAUCAGUGGAAGGGAACAAUCAUUUCUUCUUCUUUGUUCCCGCCCCCCAUCUGCCUAAUACCUGAUUUUUUUUAUUUUUUUUUUCUAGAAUACAUUAAUGGAAGGAAGAGUUGUGCAACAUGGCACUGUGGUGGAAAGCAGCCAGCCAACCUGUACAAGGAAAACAGCUAUUACACACACGAUCUGCAGUGUUAGUCCCAUUACAGGGCUAUAAAAUCCGAGCAGGUUACAAAGCCCUGAGGGCUGGGCCAUGAGCACUAAAACUUAAUGGUGAGAGCAAGCUACUUUUGAUUUUAGCCUUGACUUCUCCUCCAUGCUGGCAGUAAAUAUCAGCAAAAAUACGACUCAGUGGCAGAAAUGAGCUGUAAUCUUUUAAGAAGUGGAGUAUCAACCCUUUGCUGAUGAACCAGGGUACUCAGGUGACUGGGGUGCUCUGCCAGGGCACCUCUGCUCACAACCAUGGAAAUUUCCUAAGCACCCUGAGGUUUAAUUUACUGUUGUUGUUUUCUUUUCUUCAAGAGAAAAAAAAAAAAAAAAAAGGAACAAAAACUUCAGGCAUAUGAAGUUUCGCACAGGAAAUGAAAUUGAAACCACUGACACGGCAGCGCAGCAGCGUUGAGACGUGCAAAAAGAAGAAGUGGCAAAGCUGAUGAACAAGCUCAGGGAGAGCACAACUUUGCAAAACAGGUUGGUGAAACAUAGACUUUCACACACACACAAAAGUGAAGCUCUGUAGACACUAUGAUAUUUAUUUGCUCUCCUGCAGCUGGUGCCAGGUGCUGGCUUGCACAGCCGGACAAUGGCAUGUUUUGUUUAAUCCCAGAACAGCCUUGGCUCUGUCUCCAGCUGCAGCCCCAUCCUCUCAAUUUCCCUGGCUGCCCAGAGCCACUCACUGUGCUCCUGGGGGACAUUUGAGAAGGAAUGCCACUAUGUCCUAAAGGCCUUGCAAUGGCAUUAUUUGAUAAAAAAAUUUUAAAAAUCACUAAUUUCAUUACUGCCCAUCUGCUUUGAAGUUCUGAGUUGCAAAUAGAAAACCUUUGGUACUGACCACUAAACUUCUGUGCUUUUAAAUAUAAUGUGAUUCACACUGAUUCCCAACCAGAGGUGUAUUUUCUGUUCAGUUUUGCCAUGGGUCUCUGACAUUUGCUUUCACAGACCGAGAGCUGUGCUCGUUUGUAUGUCAGGAGAUAUGAAAACCAAACAGCGCCAGAACAAAUACUUCACUUUUCCAAGGAAACCAACACAUAAACCACUUCUGCAUACCACAGUCUGCAAAGUGCAGAGCACACACCAAGCAGGAACAAAACCCUGGGCCCACACAGUACUUGGACAAAAGCCCCACAGGAAUUCACUCAAACUGCUGCCUCCAAAGGGAAUUGUACUAGAGCAAAGGCUGACUCCAGUACAAGACACGAGUACCUGCAGUCCCACCUUCUUACCAGGGUCAAUCCCACAGGUUACAGAAGCUACAAAGCAAUCUACCACCACCAGUCAGGCCUGGGUCAGAAUAGUAUGCAUGCCAUAGCAGCCAAAAUGUGUUUCAGAUGAGGAAAUAAUCUAUGUUCUCCAGACAACCUUUUAAAGGUAAAUGAUGGUUUUGCUGAAUGAAAUGUUUGAACAACUGCAUUGUAUGUUAUUUUUCUCCAGUCUAAAUGCAGACAGGACUUAAUUUUAUUCCUGUGCAGGUGCAAAUGGGCACCCUGGAUGGAUGUGGAUCACACUGGUGAGUUCAGUGGAAAGCAGGAUCAAUACUGAGACCCAGAUUCAGACCAGAAUUUUGCAGCUGCUUGCUACCUUGAUUCAUGCUGCAUCUAAAAGCCCUGACCCAGGUCAGAUAUUCAGAUACCAAACUCAGAGCUUGUGGUUUGCCCUCACCUCUGCAUCAUUUACUUUUUCCACUCAUUGCCCCUCAACCACAGCUUGCUGUAUUGACAGUGCAGACACUUAUUUAGAAUAAGUAAACACGGUGCCCUCUCCAGCCCAAUCUGACUGUUCCACAGCUGGUGCUGCACUGCAGAGCCUGAUCCAACAACCCUGCUUCGUGACAGCACUGAACAAACAUCCUCUAAAAAGCUUUCCACUCCUAGUUGGGGUUUUUUUGGUUGGUUGGUCAGUUCUGUGACUCAUCAGCCUUAGAGUAUUUUCCUUGGUGCAGGUGCCACCACCUCAGCUGUCCAGGUUUCCUCAGUGCAGGGGAAGACAAGAUGAAAUCCCAGGGGCCAGGGCAGAACUGUAACAGUUCUGCAAGAGAGAUGUCCAGCAGAUGUUCAGCUGACUACAACCCCAGGAGAGGUGAGGAAAAGAGGAUCUGCUGUGGGAAAGACCACAUCAUGCCAUGCAUAGAAGAGGUACAGAAACAAUAUUCUUACUGCAUAAUGAGGAAAGGUACAAAAUUAAGACAAGGAGAAGGCUAAACCUACCAGUUCUUAUGAACUUUUUUAACAACAGGAAGGAAAAUCAGGGAAGAUAUACAAAUAAGAAUGAUGAAGCUGCGAAAGGAGUCUGGACUAACAUGCAAAAGACAACUGUAACAGAUAUCAAAAUAUUAAAAUUUCAAGUACUUUUCUCUAUAUAUGGUAAAACAGCAACAAAUUCUAUGUAAAUGAUGAAAUCCCAGGGCAUUAAAAUAAAUAAUGGCAUACUGUUUCAAAAUGUUCCUGGAUAAAGUAAAUGGCAUGCAAUGGGAUGGGGAUUUAGUGUUAGGAACUAUAAACCCAACAUCCCAGGAGAGCAGUAACACUGCCUGAGGAGCAGCUAGCAAAGUCAUUAAUUCAAGAAGAACCUAAAGGUGAUUGCAGGUAAGAUCAGCCAAGUAAUAGAGUUUCUCUGUGUGAUGCCUCUGAAUGGUGCAGAAGGGUCAAAGGCUAAGAUAUUUCUGGAUGUGGACAAGGGAAGGGAAGAUAUGGAAAUCUAAAGCAUAAUGCUAUGUCAA